rnacentral:rRNA from 1 species
UACAGAGGGUGCAAGCGUUAAUCGGAAUUACUGGGCGUAAAGGGUGCGUAGGUGGUUGUAUGAGUUGUUUGUGAAAUUUCCGGGCUUAACCUGGGAGCUGCGAACGAUACUGUAUGACUAGAGUAGGUUAGAGGGAAGUGGAAUUUCCGGUGUAGCGGUGAAAUGCGUAGAUAUCGGAAGGAACACCAGUGGCGAAGGCGGCUUCCUGGGACCAUACUGACACUGAAGCACGAAAGCGUGGGGGAUCAAACAGGAUUAGAUACCCUGGUAGUCCACGCUGUAAACGAUGAGAACUAGAUGUUAGGAGACGUAAGUCACUUAGUAUCGAAGCUAACGCGUUAAGUUCUCCGCCUGGGGAGUACGGCCGCAAGGCUAAAACUC